rnacentral:lncRNA from 1 species
GGCGAGCCUGUCCUGCUCUGGCCUGCCCUGUGCUCAGGAAGCUGGCGGUCCCCCUCAGUGGAUCUUCACCCACAGGGACAACCUGCUGCAGACCGGGUAGGAGGGAGGCAGGGGCCUCUUCCCCUCUCCUUCCUGGCCUGGCCCCACACCCACCAGUGUUGGUUUCACUCUGUGGCUACGAUUCUUCCUGGGUGCCCUUUCCAUUGCACAACUCCUCUAGGCUCUACGAACAGAACUUCUCCCCGCCCCCAAGCCUCUUAGGGUGAGACAUGUUGUCGGUCUGCCAUUGUUGCUGGUCCCUAAAUAGCAGCACCCUUUGAAGGAUCCUUGAACCAUGACCACACCGCAACAAAGAGUCCUUCAUCAAACUCGCUUCCAAAUCCCCUCCCAAGAACACCUUCAGUUUCCUGCAAGAACCCUGACUGCUGAAGCCGGAUUUUGACUAAGCUUCUACCUUGUAAACCGUGACUGUGGGAUUGGGGUCGAGGCGCAAUCAGAGGUUGUAUAAGGCACUAGAUCAAGGCUGCCUGUCUGUCAGGAGUGUCUGCUUUAUUCAGUAGUAAAUGUGAAUUGUUUUUCAUUCUGUUGUGAAUACUGUU